CAACAUUAGCAAAUAGCUUGCACAGCCAAGACUUCUUACCCUAGGAAUGGAGUCUUCCUUUUAUGGCUAUGUUACCCUCCCCCAUUGCCCUGUACCUCCACCAUCCCCAUCACCUACCCUCACUAAUUUUUUUUUUUUAAAUCAUACGAAAGGACAAAGCAUCUUUAUUAAUUCCUAGUAUAAAUAAUAGUAAAUCUUAUUGGAAAAGUCUUAUACUCUCAUUCUACUCAUUUCUAUCCACUACUUAGCCUAAGAACCAGCCUAUCGUAAACCUAUUCAGUGAACAAGUUUGAUGCAAAACGUCAUUCCCUCUUAUCAGUGACCAAAGCAAAUUACAAACUGUAUUCAAUUUCACUCUAAACUUUUUCUCUUCUGACUCUUCCAGAAAAUGUGAUGACUAAUGACUCACUUCAUCCCAAUUACACCUGUAGGGAAACCCAAAUGUUCUGCAGCAGAACAUCAUGACCAUCACUUACCGGACUGCCUGCAUCAUGGCCCUCUGAACACACCAUGAAGUAAGAAGCUGAUGAGCUUACCAAUAAUGUGUCACAAGUUCUCUGACCUUCAAAAUUUAGUGCCUCACAAACUUGAAAAUAACCAGGAAGCCUUUCCAAGCCACAUGAGCAAAAGCCUCUCUCUCUCUAAUUCAAGAACAGAAUUGCAUGUUCACGGAGCCAAGGAAUUUUGUUGGUUUUUUAAAACAAAGCAGACACUCAAGAAGCAAAAACUAGGAUCUAAGCUUUGCUUCAGGUUUAGAUGAUUUUAACUGUUUCACGUAUAUGGCUCUUCUAAGACCUUAUUCUCUAAAUGUUUGUUUACUGGGUACCAAAAAUACAUACCCCAGACUUCACUGUGCUGCAUCUGCCAUAUUCUCCUGAGAUUUCCAGAACAUGUCCUCAUAAAAGACAAAAAUGAUAAAGUCUUCUCUCUACUUCAGUCUAAAUCUUCUGAUCACAUAAGGCUUAUUUGCAGGAAGAAAAGCUUGGAGAGGAUCCAGGAAACCCAAUAUCCUAAAUGAGUUUUUGUGACAGCUUCUGAAAAUGUUGGAAGGAAGAUCUGUGUACAAAAUAAAACAAGGUUUUUAUGUGUAAAUCAAAAAAAGGAUAAUGUUCUAUGAGUUCAUAGCAUCAAACCUCUGUUCCCUUGGAUUAGACUCAGCCUUAUCUAUCUGGAAGAUUUGGAUAGGGACACACAUUUGCACAAAGAGAAGAUUAUGUGAAGAGACAUAAGGAGAAUGCCAUGUGACGAUUAGAGUGAUACCAUCACAAGCCAAGAAAUAUCUAGGUUUCUAGAAGCUGGAAGAAGCAAGGAAGGCUCCUUCUGCUAAAGGUUUCAGCAGGAAGAUGUCCCUGCUAACACCUUGACUUAGACUUCUAACUUCUGGAACUGGAAGACAAUAAAUCUCUGUUGUUUUGAACCACCCAGUUUGUGACACUUUGUGAUGGCAGCCCUAGGAAACUAAGGCAGGAGGUAUUAUUCCCUUUUCAAAAAAAAAAAAAAAAAAAAAAAAGGCAGUAGUUCUCAGAGAACGAUGGAAAAUAUGGAAGAGCCCUUUAAUGAACUGCUGUAAAGCUAAUCACAAAGAAUGAAGGAUCUGGUCCUGCCUCCGUCUGCCCGCAAAACCUCCACCUGUUUUGUGCCUAUACCUUCACCUUCGGCUUCCAUUUUGCCGUCAUUUUCCAUCUUUAAACUGGGAUGAAAUUCUAGUCUCCCUCACAGGAUUACUGCACAGCAUUAAUAUAUUAAAGCAUUUUGGAAAGCACUUUGAGAAGAAAGGGAGUCCAUAAAUACAACAGAACCAGGAAAAUCCAGGGACAUUUCCCAAGGUCUUAAGUGCCAGAGACCUUAUGGAAGUACCUAUACUUCACCAGGUAA